GGGGCGGUGUGGCAGGUCAACAGAAUGGGCUGUGAAUCCUACGGCUCUGAAUCCUCCGGGUCCAGCGAGGGAAGCCAGAGGAGCGGCCUCUCCUCGGGAUUAGCAGAGUCCCGGAUUGUCGUCCCGGGACGGACCGGGACACCGGACGCUUGGCGGGGAGGGGCCCGCCGCGGCCCACGUGGACACUGCCAGUGAGCGGUUAACACUAAUCCUGCUGCUGAUUACCGCUGGCAUCAGGGAAAUAAACAGCAAUACAUAAACCUACGAGGCGGAGCACACAACAUCCCCACCUGCCGCCACCACCAACCGAACUCACAAUGCCCUCCAUCCGUCUUUCCCUCUUUAUCCUGGGUUUGGUUGUGGCUUGUGUCUCAGGUGAAAAAUCAAAUACCACUUCAAACCCCACAAAUUCAAACUCCAAAAUUUCAAACUCCGAAACUUCAAACUCCGAAACUUCAAAUGUAAAUGGCUCCACUACCGCCACUCAAACAUCCCUCAACGCCAUCACCACCACCGGAACCACCACCAAUGCCACCGAUGCCUCAAGCUACACACCGAGCAGCAGCGCCAUCUCGCCCUCGACAGCAACGCAGACCGGAUUCUCCAGUUCAAGUGGGGGAAGUGUCAAAACAACAAGCGCACCUAGAACCACGGACAAAAUGACAACAACUACCACCAAAGUACACAAAAAGGAGACAACCACCACUGCUAAGCCAGCUGAGACGGCGUCAGUGGACACCACCGGCAUUAUCAUCCUAGUUGUGAUCGGCGUCGUAAUCCUUGGAUUUGGAGUUUGCUGCUACUUACAGCGGAAUAGAAGAAGGCGGUACUCUGUGGACUUCACCUCCAGACCGGAUGAAGCCAACAUCCCUCUCAGCACCAUGGAGCCCGAGUUACAGGUCGAUGCCGCGCCUCAGAACGGACUGCAAACCUUUGAAAGGGAAGAAGCUAAGACAGAGAUGCGAGAACCAGAGGCCAAGCCUGAAGCAAAGGAGGAGCAGAAAGGUGAGGCUGAGGAAUCUCACGUUGGUCCCGGGGCUGAGUCUGCUGCCCCGGCGGCGACCCCAGAGAGCCCCGCGGACGAACCCAAAGCGGCCGCCGUUGAGCAGAGUCCCCCCGCGCCCGUGGAGCCAAGUGUGGACGAGAAAACCGACGAAGAAGGCGACGUCUCCAACAAGACCUCUGUGGAGUCGCUGAAAGAGACCAACGAGAACAACAGCAAUAAUGCCGACUUCAAUGCGACUGGAGAUGUGAUCAGCAUCAACUUCUGGGACGUUCCUCUCAAUAGUCCGCUGUGAGACAUUUCACCUAUCUGUGCUGUUCUUCAGGAACUUGAUUGAAGGAGUGACCACGACGGAGAAGGGCACGUCUGCUCGUACCGUGUGAGAUAUUUAGCGGGCUGUUUUCUCCUUGUUAGAAACAAAUUUACUGCAGCAGAGCAGCUUUUUCCCAGUUAAACGUUAGCUGAACUCUGAGUUUUAAGCAUUUUAGUGAUUUAACGGUGACUAUUUAGUUGGUCUAUAUACUAAAUGUGAUUACGUUUGGUACUGCAGAACAGUAAUACACGUUGAAUUUCAUCUCCCAAGCCAUUCAGCUUUUAUAAACUUAUAUAAACAUAUUAUACGUGGUUUCUAACACACUGAGAUGUAGUUUUAAGCAGCCAUAAUUUACUCUUUUUGUGGAAAUAUAUUAAUAGAGUAAAAUACAUUUGUAUUAAUAUACUUUACAUUAAUCAAACCUAACUGAUAUUCUUUCAUCACAUAACGAUAAACACAUUUGUAAAUAAUGAUGUAUAAAUAAGCAAG
ensembl:lncRNA